rnacentral:rRNA from 1 species
UACGUAGGGUGCAAGCGUUGUCCGGAAUUAUUGGGCGUAAAGAGCUCGUAGGCGGUUUGUCGCGUCUGCCGUGAAAGUCCGGGGCUCAACUCCGGAUCUGCGGUGGGUACGGGCAGACUAGAGUGAUGUAGGGGAGACUGGAAUUCCUGGUGUAGCGGUGAAAUGCGCAGAUAUCGGAAGGAACACCAGUGGCGAAAGCGGCUUCCUGGUCCAGCACCGACGUUCAGGCAUGAAAGCGUGGGGAGCAAACAGG